GCGGGAGGCGGCGCUACCGGCUCCCGGCUCCAAUCUCCCGUCUGCUACCUAGCCCCUGCCCCGCGCCCGGCCCCUACACCUCGUGGAGAGCGGCCUGGCUCCGCAUCUCGGGCCGUCCAGGCCCUGCAGGUCAGGGCCCCUGCGGGACUGACUGCGGCUCCCGGUAGACGGCUCCCAGCCCGCGGACAGCAGGCAGGAGGCCAAGGUAACAGCUCACUACCUGGAGACCCUCAUGCUGUGCAGAACCCCAAGCCACACUUGCUGAGAGGGCUAAUGGAAGGGACACACGACCAGCCCCCAGCCAGCCCAGCCACUCCACUCGAGCUGUCAUACAACAGCAAAAGGAUGUCUUAGAUGCUCUGUCCCAGUCAGAUCCCACGCAGAGAACAGCCCCCGGCUGAGUGCAGCCUCGUUUUCAGAGCUCACCCUCUGUGAUCUCGCCAGCGGAGCAACCCGGACCCUCAGGGAGUGAGAACAGAGGCCGCCAGCCCUCCUUAGAGCCUGCAGCUGGUGUGGCAUCUCUCUCUGGCAGCUCAGGCAAGUCAAGGGGCCGGGUCGGAUCCAACGGGAGGCCGUGGGGCCCGCCGGCUGAAUGCGGUUGUUGGGGGGCAGCAUUCCUGCAGAUGUAGGAGGGGCUGCCAAAUCCGCUGGGAAGCAGGGUCCUCGGAGGACAGGAGUCAUGAGAA